GUAGUUUAAAAUAAUAGUGAAAUACAUUGUCUUAUAAAAAGAAAAAGUCAAAAGUCAGACCAAAUUUGUUAGGGAAGAAGUGUAUUUAGAGCUCUAACUAAGAAUUCAAGAAAUGAAACAGCAGUUAUAGUCCCAGUUCUGGAGGAGCUGCAUUCCUUCUGUGACUCAACACGUGUAUAUUGAGUAACUAAACGUUGAGGUCAAGAUCAGGGUUGAUGCCUGCCCUCAAGGAGCUUACUAUGUCUAAAAAGGGAAACAAAUGUGUAAGCUGAUGAGUAAGUCAAUACUUCAGAGUGAUGUAUAGGAGGCUGCAUGUCUCAAUGGAAAAUGUCUUGGCUUUGUAGUCAGCACACCAGAGUUCAAACUCAGAUGGUCACUUACAACAAGUUUUUGUUUUUGUUUUUUUAAUUCUUGUUUUUAACUCCCUGUGGUAGAAUUGUUUUUCUUAUUUCUAAGAUAGGGAUUCUGUCUUAUGGAGUAGUUUUGUGGAUUAGAAGGACCAUACAUAAAUAUAUGGAUGUUAUUAUUUUUUGUAAAAGUUUAGGAGAUUAAAAGAGAAUAGUGGGAGAGCGGAUGAGUGAAAGUUUUUUAGAAUGGGUGAUACCUGAAUAUUUAAGAUUGGUAGGUAACUCCCAGGUGGAUGAGAGGAAUGAAACAGCUUGGAAAGUUGGGACCUACUAAUAGUUUGUUAUGGAGCAAGGAGAGUUUCUGCCUAGGUUCUCAAACUUAGGUAUGCAUUAGAAAUAUUGUGGAGAUUACAAAUACUGCUAGGUCGAAUCUCUAGGUAAUAUUCAGUAGGCCUGAGGUGGAACUCGGGCAUUUCUAUUUUUAGUAAGGUCAACAGGAGACUUUAACCUAUAUCACAGUUUGAGACUCACUGCUGAAGUUUACUGUUUUCUGAUAGGGUAUUCCUGAAACACAUUUGACAUGUUAAUAUGUUUCCCUUCAAUCUUGGAUGUAUAUUUUGUGAGUUAAGAUUAAAUUAAAACGAAGUUGGGUUUUUUUGUUGUUGUUUUACUACAGAUUUUCUCUAACCUGUUAAGAUAUCAGUGUGUAUUUCAUAGAUGUAAGAGAGAUACAGUUGAGGAAGUAUUGCACUAGUUAGUGGGGGAACCACAAGAUCAGAUACGACUUUUAGAAAGUUUGGGAGAAAGGUGAAAGCACCAAAGAAGGCAGAUUGAAGGUAGUAACAGUGGAGACAAAGGAGAUCAGGUAGGUAUAUUUACAGCAGUCCACAUAAGAUAUGAUGAGGACCUGAAUUAAGGCAUUGCUGGUGGGAAUUCCAGGACAUUUAAAAAGUCUCUAGUAGGAUUUCAUUCCCCUUAGAUAUAGCAGGUGAGGGAUGAGAAUUGGGUUAAAGACAGGUGUAACCACCAGCAGAAAAAGGAUGCAGAAACAUACAUACUUCACUAAAUGGAAAUAUGUCUGUAUAUUAAACUCUAGAUUGGUGAUUGGUUUCAUGGAAGAAGUGAAUCUUAAGUAAAUCUAUUUUGCCACAGUUUAAAAAAUAGAUUUUGUGAAAGUUGAGGUUUCAUUUGAGUUAUAUGUGAUAUGUCAAUAUAUGUUAUAUACUUUUACCUAAAUAGUUCUGAUGCAGUUCAUUAGUUGGUAGUAUUUUCUUAAAACAGUUAAGAAGAGUUAAAAACAAGAUCAGGUCUUGUUUUGUAGUUAGUUUUGUUGUUUUUCAUGUACUGCGAUUUAGCUUACUUUCUCUAGAGUAUAUGCCAUCUUGCCAAGUGGAGUUUAAUAUAUAUAGUGCUGAAUAAGAAAUUAAGGAUUGGGAAAAAUAAAACCUCAUACUACCUUUCUACAACCAUCUGUGGUCCAAAUGGAUUAAGUUGGUAAUGUUGACUGAUGCUUUUCUCUGACACAUUCAACGAGUUUGUUUAUUUCAAGAUUUAGUGGUGCAUAAAAAACCAUUUUUAUUAACCAUCUUUAAUCUUUAUUUCUUUUGAUUCCUGAGCACUUGUUUUAACCUACUUAUAUUCUUUCAUUAGAUUUCUUAUUUUCUCACCCUAUAUAUAAUUAUGGAAGAUUAGACCUUAUACCUACGUGUCUUCUAUGAUUUUUAUAAUAUCUAGCAUACAGAUCACUGAAUACUUAUUAAUUAUAGUUGCUAACUCAUUUAUUCCCUACGAGCUGAUUCAGCAUUUCUCAUUGCUUGAUCACGUUGUUAAAAUCUUCAAUUUCUGAUGCAAGUUUUAUCUGGAUUUAAAUCUUCCUUUAUAAGAACAAUGUGGUUUAAGUCAGCUGCUGAACUAAUAUAGGUGGUAAGAGUAGCUGUCCAACUGUUACUUUGUUUCUGUUCUAAAUUCUUAAAUAGGUUUACAGGGAGAGGUGCCUAGAUGGAUCAUUGUUUUGAUGAAGGCCUGAGUUAAGACAGCAUUGCUGGGAAGUUAGGGCCGAGAAUGUAUUUCACCUUGAGUAUGGAAAGAGAAAAAAGGUUAACAUUUGGGAUUUGGAAUAUGCAAAACUGAAAGGGCAACCUUGUAUAGAGGAAAAAGGUGAGUAUAAAAGUGUCUUGUCUGGUAGACUAUAAGUAUAGGAGGAGAUUUAGAAGAAUACAGCAUAUCUGGGCUAUAAAUCCCUUAUUUCUUGUUAUUCUUAGCUUAUAAUAUAGGGAAAUUUCUCAACCAGUAAGAGCCUUAGUGUUUAGAUUUGUAAGAUGGGCUUGCUUAAGGGUUUCAGAGAAUAAUGCUAUAAUGUAUGUAGAGUGUUCUGGCUGUUUGGAGAAGCAUGUGAAAAAAUGGUGUAAAGAUUUUUAAAACGUUUUUAGUUUAAGUGUUAUAUUUAACAGUUAUAGUGAACUAACUUGGUUAUUUUACAGACUGAUUCAAAGUUGAGGUUUAAAAGAGUAGAUCGAGUUGGGCUUCAUUAUAAAUUAGUCUCUUUAGGACUUUAUAGAACCCAGCAUUAGUAUAGAGGUCACUUUCACUGUAAAGAUGGGAAGCAAAACAAGUUCAUACAUUCUUGUCCACAGUAAGAUAUAUCGUUAACUGUAAAUACAACUCUUAAUUGGUGUGUGACUGAACAAUCUAAUAUUUUUAAGUGGUUAAGUAUUGUUUAGUAAUUAGGAAACGUUUAGUAUACUUAACUCUGUUCGUAUAUAUAGUAUAACAGAAAUAUAUCCUGUUUCUAUCUAUUGUAUCUGUCAGUAUUAUAAAAUUAGUGGAGGAUUAGUGACUAUAAUAUCAAUAUAGGAGAGUGAGAUUAUUUAGACAAUGUUAAUUUCACUUUGCAGUUUAUGUGUUAUGUCGGAAUUGUGACCCUUUUUUAAAGAGACCAAAUAAUUGGGUGUAGAGUAAUGUUGAAGAGGCGUUUUUAGAAAAAAACCCUUUAGAAAAUAGAAUCAAUUGAAAGAUGUGUAGUAACUUCAUAGUUCAAUUACUAUGGCUUUCUGAUAGUUUACUUAGUUUCUCAGUAUCCUUGACUCAGGGGUUCCUCUGCUAUAGUGAUUUUUUAAACUUAUUUUUAACUUGUCCUGAAGAUUUAGUAUAGAAAUAUGUCUUUGUAAAAGGAGAACUCAUUAAAUACCAGAUAAAUUGAAACAAAAUGGAAAUAUGAAAGACAUCUAGGAAUAUAAACUGCUGUUAAAGAUGAUAUGAGAUCAGAAAUUAUCAUAAGCCAAGCACACAGUAAUCUUUGGACAGUGAAAUGUUUUUCAAGUUUCAUUUUACAGUUAAACCCUUAUAUUAGAUUUGGAGAAGCUAAAACUAUGUAGUAUUUUUAAGUAUUAAAAUAGAGGUGAAAUUGUGUAUUUAUCAUGUCUUUGGUUCCAAAAUAAAAAAAUUUAAG